GCCCAGCAGAUGCGCGCCCCUUGCCCAACUGGUUGCGGUCCCUUCCGUUUCCCGAGUCCGUCUCCCUUCCGUUUCCCGAGUCCGUUGCGAUUCCUUUCAGCAGUGCCAUUGCCGGGGGCGACGGUCCUUGUCGAAACCGUCUCCCUGUUAGAACCCUAGCUUGCGCACACCAAUCCGGCGAGCGGUGGUCCAGUCCGCUGCUUUUUCCUUCAGGCAGCCCAGUCGCUAGGGGCGAUGGUUCCGCCUCCUUGCGGAACCCCAUUCGACGGAACCCAAUCCGGCGAGCGGUGAUUGGUAGGUUGUUGCGUUGGUUGACUGAACAAAUGAUUCGCUCACUCUACCGCACAUCCAAUCCUUUUUCUUCUGUCUGCAUCUGAUUUGACAUGUUUUAUUCGCUCCUGCAGCUGGCAUCUGCGGCUUCUUCGGGGAGUUUGACGAGCGACUAUGGGCCGGGGAGGAGCAGUAGGUCGUCCAUCUAGCUCAGUACGUAGCAGGUCCUUGUUUCCUCCAUCGGAUCUGCUGUCCGCUGCAGUUCAUUGAGUACUACUUUUAUUUUUGUAGCAAUUUACAUUCUCUAGUUUUACUCAAUUGCUAGAUUUCUAAAUUUCAAUUAUUUCAUGCUACGACUAUAUUAAGUCGUGCAUCUAUCCAUUAGUUAAAGAUGUUUGUUAAACUAGCGGUGGCACUGACACUGGCACUGGCACUUGACAAGUCCAACCUGAGUAGUUUGAUGCACUAGAGCUAGGUGAUCAGCACGUAGCUAGUACUUGCACCACUGGCCGUGAUCUAUUGGCGAUUGCAUGACAGAAAGCUGACGAUAUCAUGCCAUUGAGAUAGUUCACUGCAUAUGUACACGGAAAUAGUUUUGGGUUUGGACCCAAAACCUGCUCCUAGCCUAGCUAGCAGCCUAACUCCAACCGUACCUGUACGUAGCACAACAACAUGAUUUGGAUGGCUCAACAAAAUGUCGCAUUUCAUAUAGUCAUACUGCUUUGCCCCACUAAGCUCACUCAGCUACUCCUUGACUACAGAAUUUUAGUAUUAACUUUUCAUUAUCAGGGAAUCAAUUUAUUCGAUGCCAUGUUUAUUUUAUACUUAUAUAUGUAUAUAAUCAUAUGAUAUACACAUACGCUAUUCUAUUGUAUUAAAGUGCAUGCCUUAGCCCUCUCGUAGCCAAGUUAUUUUUUGUAGCAAUUUACAUUAUCUUUUUGUGUCAAGUUACUUAAUAAUGAAAGUUCAUUGAGUUUUCUUUGUUGUAGCAAGCUACUCAAUUUGCUAUUGACAUCACAGCUUUGCUAGAUUUGUAAUUUCAAUUAUUUCAUGCUAGCAUUAUAUGAGGUUGUGCAUAUAUCCAUUAGUUUAACCAAAGACAUUGUUUUGCUGCAGUUUGUUGCACUUUGUUGGAUUUCACAUCGAGCAGUAGCAGCAGGGUUGGUCUGUGCUUCUUCCACCUGUUCACCAG
rnacentral:lncRNA from 1 species